rnacentral:rRNA from 1 species
UACGUAGGGGGCGAGCGUUAUCCGGAUUUACUGGGCGUAAAGCGCGUUAAGGCGGCUCUUUAAGUUGGUGGUGAAAUUUCAGGGCUCAACCCCUGAAACUGCCUCCAAUACUGGAGAGCUUGAGUGCGAGAGAGGAAAGUGGAAUUCCCGGUGUACGUAGUGAAAUGCGUAGAUAUCGGGAGGAACGACCAGUGGCGAAGGCGGCUUCUGGCUCGCAACUGACGCUGUAGCGCGAAAGCGUGGGGAGCGAACGGG